CCUACGGGCGGCUGCAGUAGGGAAUAUUGCACAAUGGGGGAAACCCUGAUGCAGCGACGCCGCGUGGGUGAAGAAGUAUUUCGGUACGUAAAGCUCUAUCAGCAGGGAAGAAAAUGACGGUACCUGACUAAGAAGCACCGGCUAACUACGUGCCAGCAGCCGCGGUAAUACGUAGGGGGCAAGCGUUAUCCGGAUUUACUGGGUGUAAAGGGAGCGUAGACGGCCGGGGAAGUCAGGAGUGAAAUGCCGGGGCCCAACCCCGGAACUGCUCUGGAAACUGUGAAGCUGGAGUGCAGGAGAGGUAAGCGGAAUUCCUGGUGUAGGGGUGAAAUGCGUAGAUAUCAGGAGGAAUACCGGCGGCGAAGGCGGCUUACUGGACUGUAACUGACGUUGAGGCACGAAGGCGUGGGGAGCAAACAGGAUUAGAUACCCUUGUAGUC
rnacentral:rRNA from 1 species